UUACACAGUAAGGGUCUCACGACCCAUAAUAGCAGUCAAUCAGUUACAAGCCAGCGGAAGUGUUUAAAACUGUCUGAGUAUAGACAGGUGAAACUAGAAGGCACAUGGCCUGACUAUACUACAGACCCAACCUAGUGCCAGAUCGUAGCUGGGACACCAGCUACUCGUCGUCGUCGAUGUCUAUGAAGAACCCUCCAUUAGGAUCAUUAGAAACCUCUGCAACAAUUAUUAAGCAAACAUGAGUACGGGGGUACUCAGCAAGACUUUAGGAUAACUAACUACUCAUGCAAAGUAUCAAUAAGGUAUUGUGGGGUUUCAUGCGUAAUGCCAGCAUUUGACUCGUGGCUAGACAACUUACAUUUUAAAACAAUUUUAAACAACUUGAUUUCUCGCACACGAGUCCACUAACACCACAACAAUACUCCAUCAUGGAAUCAUUCCGUCUCCAUACGGAAAUGCCAUCCACGACACUCACGCUUAUCUUGGCAAUUUUAUGAGUAGCCAUUGAAGUUAUCUAUGAACAACAUAUGUCUCUAAGUAGUCCAUAUCCGCGGACGCGGCUAUUCGAAUAGAUCAUAACCCUGCAGGGGUGUACUUCGUCACACACGCUCUCGCCACUAAUCGCCAUGUGCACAUCAUGCACCUCGGCAAUCUUCAAGCGGAAGCCCAGCGAGGGAGUCGGCCACGACCGUUAACCACACUAGUCGUCAACCCGUGCACUUGCACGGGCUAGUUCAUUUUUAGGAAAAAUAAAUAAAGGUACUAAAAUCAUUUGUUAGAUACACACUAUUUAGAAAUAUAAAAAAUGGAAAAUAAAACCAUAGCCUUUUGAACUUUUUUUGUUGUAAACAUGAUUUUUUUUUUCUACAAUAAUAUAUUUUUUCAAGCUAAUGCUAAAAAAUGGGUACAAAAUUUAGAGGUACACAAAAUCAUAGAUUGUACUCAUGCAAGAGAACAUAUAGUAUAUGACAACAAUGCAAUUUUAAUUAUCUGUUCCCAAAAUAGGACAAACAUAUUAGUGAAUAAUUAGAGUACUAAUUGGCUAAUAUUAAUCAUCAUAUUGCAAAGCGAUUCAAAGUCUAGUGUUUUACUUUUCUUGGUUUUAUAGGAAAACAAUCAUAGUUAUCAUGCUAAAUGUUACGUAAAACAUGCACUUGCAAGAAGUAAAAGAGUGCAACAAAACUCAUUUGUGGCCCCUCAUUCGUAGAAAGAAUGGACGCUAAUGAUACUAUAAAGUUGUCACCAUCAUAUAACGUGAUGUAGUACCAACUUGGAAUGAUUUUAGGAGAUCUUAUUAUUGCUGCAGUCACAACAAUUAUUUGCUUAUGCGUUUUGGCUUAAUAAUAAGGAUUGUUUGUAAAAUGGGACACAACAGUUGACCUGUACAUAUAUCUUGUUUGACUGAAAAUCUAGAAUAAACUUCAAACUUGGAAAGUCGUAAAAGCUACAUUUUGUUUUUUAUUUAUUUAUUCAGAUCUGUUAUCUUAUAUUUAUCCCAUUACCUAGACCUGAGCUUCCAUUACUUGUUACUCGGUGCCCUGAAUACUUUCUGAAAAGGUAGUCAAAAUCCUCUUAACUGACAUAUUCAUUUUCCAAAAAAUAUGAAUUAACUAACGAAAUUAAUAAUUCUGUACGACGUACAAAAAGUAGUGGUCAAAUGUUAAUUAAUACAUAUGCCACCUAAUGAAUGAUCCAAAAAAGGAAACUUGGGAGGCCAUACAUUGGAACCAUCAUCACCAUGUUCUUUGAAUUUUACACAUAUUACCUAAUAUUUCACAGCAAAAAAGGAGAAUCGCCUUACUAAGGAAAUUACCAUGUGAUUCCACAUUCAAUCGCUCUUGACUAAAUCCUUCACCAUCUGAAAUAGUAUAUAAAUAAAUAAGAAUCAAUGAGUUACUUAUUUGUCGGGUUUAUUUCUUUAACUCUUUAAUUAGAAGGAUGUCCUAACAUAGAGCAUCUACAAACAUAAACUAUAUAUCCUUGCAUAUGGAUUUUCUAUGAACUUAUUGAAUUGUAUCCACAACUUUGUACCAGACUGAAAUCAGAUGUGAGUAUCAUACAACAUUAUUCAAAGAAAAUAAUAAGUAAAGGGUACAUCUUCAAUGACGGAGUUCUGCUCAGCGCGUUCCAAGUAUAAAUAGUAAGGUAAGAGCACAUCUCCAAUCACAGAUUUAUGCACGUCUACAAUUGAUGUUCCUGCAACUUAUGCUUACGCAUACUACUAAUCAGCAGCUCAUCUUCACACGAGAUGUGAAAUCAUUACUUUGGGUCUCCUUUUUGCUGUGUGAAUAUCAAGUUCGGUUGCACCAAACUGUUGCAUUCAAAGGUAUUAGAUUACCUGAUGAUAUUCAAAUGGAUAUAAACUCUAGUUGCACUUGUAGAUGAUAGUGAGUUCUAUGUACGCACUUGAUAGUAACUUUCCUAUACAAUAAAUACACACAUAGCUAGCAAUACCUGUAGCGUAUUUAUAUAAAUAUGUACCUUCCUGGCAGUUGUUGAUAUUACGGUGACAACACGGCCCCAAUAAUCCUCAUUAGUUUGGCAGACCUUGCCGCAUUAAUUAUUUUCAUCCAUGUAUAUUCCAAGACUCGUAACUAUUAGCACUUGUACUCCUUUAGCUCUUUCAACAUACUCACUCAAUUCGAAUCACAAUAUCAUAUAUCUUUGAAAUCCCAUGCAUGAGUGUCUAUGUUUGUUCGGUAUGAGUGAUGUAAGUUCCUACGGCAACGACAACUGCGAAAGGAAAAGUGGUGUUAAUAUGAAGAAAAAAUUGGAAUUAAUAAUUUCAAAAUAAAUAUAGUUGUACCGGAAAGUAAAUAUUCUAGUCCUCUGUUGUGGAGGAACGUCAAUGCUAGAAAAUGUGAAGGUUGGUUCUACUAUUUCGAUCUUUUUGAGACCUUUAAUAUCUUGAUUUUUCAUUGUGGGCAAGAAAAUAAGUAUCUGGUCGCCUAACAACUGAACGGAGAAUCAGGGCAGCUAUAACCUUAAGAUCUGAAAUCAUUUUCGCUGAACCAUCUUGGAUAAAUUUCCUGAACUUGUUAACCAUACAUUCAAUUACGUAUAUAUGAAUGCAAUGUUUCUCGUAUAGACGAUAGUUCUAAUUAUAUGCUUGCCUGAUGGAUAUAGAUGUGCUCUGAAUCACCUGAUGGGUAUAGCUGGGCUAUGAAUCAAUUUGCAUAAUGUGUCAAAUUCUUUUACGGGGGAAGAUUCAGGGUUCAAUCCAAAUCCAAUAAAGAAAACGUAAAUCGGACAAAUUCGAGAACAACACGACCAAAUAAGUGAACAAACAUUAGCUGACUCCGAAUCCAGAAGAACAGAUAGGAUGGUCAACCGGCAAGAAAAAAAAUCGAAACAAAGUAUGUCAGAUACGAACCAGAUCUAGAUCGGAAAAGCAAAUGUCACGAAGUAUCCUCUUCACCAUGGAAUAUCCUUUGCCCAACUUGCUUGCAUUAGUUUGACAGAACAAUAGAUCUGGUUUCAACGGGGGAGAGAGAGAGAUUGGAGAGAAGAACGGGCUGGUUUCAACGGGGAUAUAGAGAUUGGAGAGAGGAAGGGAUAGCGGAAUACUUCCAUGGGGGAGAGAGAAUAACGGAGAGGAAGGCACACGGGAAUAUUUUUGUUUUGCAUGGGUGAGAAAAGGAAAGGUGGGACGGGAUAUUUUCACUUUGCUUGGAGAUAAAGAAUUUGGAAGGGCUACUCGAAUCUGAUCUCGUG
rnacentral:lncRNA from 1 species